rnacentral:lncRNA from 1 species
AUGUUGACUAUUCUCUCACAGCUCAAAUCUGUAUGCAAUAAUACCAAUUUCCAACACAUUACAGAAAAUAUAAAAGAAAAAUAUGUUCAAUUUGUCAUGUCUCACUCAGUGUGGGCCUUGGUGAAAAAAAAGAGAAAACAAAAACAAAAACCCUUGUUCUUGUCAUUUUUAUUUAUGCAAAUAAGAAAUACCGAACAAAGGGGAGAAAGAAGCGAAUAACAGUAUGGAACAAAGAAAGAAUGAGAAGUGAGACUGACUUGUCAUUUCUGUGUGGGUUGGUGAACAUCAACCACACUAGCAUUUAAUUAAAAGAAAAAAGAUCUCAAAUAAAGAUUCUUUUAAAAACUGAAUUACUCAAGAGACUGAGACACAGAAAAUGUCAAGUUGCCAAUCAGCAACCCCGAAUUAAAGAUCAUGAUGAUUAUGACGACAGAUCUGUUAUUUCUAAACCCUGUUUCUCUACAGAAACAUCUAUUUGCUAAUAACUACUAAAUGUAAGUCUGACAUAUGUUUUGCACUGUUAAAAUGAUCUGUAAAAUGAUAAUCAGUCCUUCUCACACGCAACUGUCCAUUUUUCUUUCCAAGACCAAAUAGCCCAUGACUCAUGUUUAUACAAAAAAGGCAGAAACUCGUGAAUUAAAACAUCACAAAUAUGCACAGAACAAACAUCAACUUAAAAAAAAAAUAAAAAAAAAGUUUCUGUACAUCAUACCCUACUAAAGUGACAAACUAAAUGUAAACUUCAAAAAAUAAAUGUUUAACUUAAAAAGCCUAUUAAAGUAAGGCAGAAAUUUUGUACAGUGAAUAGUAUUAUACAACUAUAACAGUAUGGAACAAGAAGAAUGAGAAGUGAGACUGACUUGUCAUUUCUGUGUGGGUUGGUGAACAUCAACCACACUAGCAUUUAAUUAAAGAAAAGAUCUCAAAUAAAGAUUCUUUAAAAACUGAAUUACUCAAGAGACUGAGACACAGAAAAUGUCAAGUUGCCAAUCAGCAACCCGAAUUAAGAUCAUGAUGAUUAUGACGACAGAUCUGUUAAGAAGUGAGACUGACUUGUCAUUUCUGUGUGGGUUGGUGAACAUCAACCACACUAGCAUUUAAUUAAAAGAAAAAGAUCUCAAAUAAAGAUUCUUUUAAAAACUGAAUUACUCAAGAGACUGAGACACAGAAAAUGUCAAGUUGCCAAUCAGCAACCCCGAAUUAAAGAUCAUGAUGAUUAUGACGACAGAUCUGUUAUUUCUAAACCCUGUUUCUCUACAGAAACAUCUAUUUGCUAAUAACUACUAAAUGUAAGUCUGACAUAUGUUUUGCACUGUUAAAAUGAUCUGUAAAAUGAUAAUCAGUCCUUCUCACACGCAACUGUCCAUUUUUCUUUCCAAGACCAAAUAGCCCAUGACUCAUGUUUAUACAAAAAAGGACAGAAACUCGUGAAUUAAAACAUCACAAAUAAUGCACAGAACAAACAUCACUUAAAAAAAAAAUAAAAAAAGUUAAACUGUACAUCAUACCCUACCUAAAGUAGACAAACUAAAUAGUAAACUUACUAGUGACAAACUAAAUGUAAACUUCAAAAAAUAAAUGUUUAACUUAAAAAGCCUAUUAAAGUAAGGCAGAAAUUUUGUACAGUGAAUAGUAUUAUACAACUGAACAUGUUUCAGGAAAAUUUCAGCUAAUUAACAGACUGAUUUAAAUACAUUAUAAUUCAAAACUAUUACCCAUCCAUGUGUAAUCAUUCAAUCUGACAGGAAGAGCACUGUGCGCUUUUCCUGUACAGCAGCGCCACCUACCAGCUCUCAGUAGUAUUGCAUGUAGUAAUGCAAAACACAGUACUUCAAACCGCAGUUGAAGUUAAGAUCAGGAAACCCUGAACAGCUGUGCUGGGAAACACAACUGCCCACAUCUGGAUUUAGGGCUACAUGCAGUUUCAAACUUUGUUCCAAGGAUCAAAAAAAUUAGCGUUUUAAAAAAGGACCAGAGGGUUUGAAGCCAGCAUAUUUUCCAAAAGCACCUUUUAAGAUGAUUUUCAGCAAUGAGGGUUGACCAUUUCACCACAAUGAAUAAUCUGCCAACUCUCAGCGGAUGCUAUGCUUUGCGUUGCUCUAACCGAGUCUGUUCGCCACUUUAUUACAAACUGAUAUGGAAUAUUUAAGUUCGCUAAGCAAGCCAGAACAACAGAAAGCCAAGAACAGACUAAAAAUCUCCAGUCUUCAGGAACAGAUUACUCAAGACAGAGGGAUCUUGUUCUUUACUAGCCAACAUGUGAUUCUGUUUUCAUCUUGCACCCUACCAAAACACCAGAUGACACCUGCUAUCUCAUCUACCGCUUGUAUAAAUGUCUUAUAAUGUUUCAUCACGCUACACGAAUGUAAAAUUAGCACAAGGGACAGCUUAUGUGCGCAGAACGCCUCCAGCCUCAGCUGACAAAAGCGCUAUUAAUGGCGAGAGCGUUUGAGUGCCUGCAGCUUCCAGUAGACAUCUGACCUCUUUGAUCAUGAAUAUUCACAACAAGUCUCAGGCUCGGGAUGUUCGGUGACCCGGAAUGAGAACAGAACUGCUCUGGGCGCCUCCAGAACUCUCCACGGAUGCUGUAAAUCAACUCUAUUCAUUUAAUAACCCGAUUUUUCUGUUCCCGAUUCUUGUUCGUCCCAUAGUGUGUGUCCUACAUGCUAAAAAAAGGGAAAUUGGCCUAUAAUAUGGAAAACAUGAAGCUCUGGCAUGGAUUCUGUGGUUAUGAGAAACAGUGGGCUCUGACGUGUUGAUAUAUGAUCAUGUGCAGGCACUGCUUUCUGAUCUUAUGCUUUUGAAAAUAUUCAGGCCUACAGAGAAAAAUACAAGACCCAGCCUUACUUGAAUCACACACAGG